rnacentral:pre_miRNA from 1 species
CAUAUUCUUCCUCCGUCCGGAAAUACUUGUUCGAGAGAUGGAUGUAUCUACGCGUAUUUUUAUUCUAGAUGCAUUCAUUUAUAUUCAAUUUUCGAGACAAGUAAUUCCAGACUGAGGGAGUACACA